AUGCAGUUGGUUGAUGGAAACUGGAAGGGGGUGGUGGAGGUUGAGCAUUAAGGUAGGGAGGCUGAGAAGAUGAGUUAGGGUUUCCAGAAUUAGGGUUGAAAGACUGAUCAAACCUAUGAUAGCAGUUCCAUACCACAUGACCCAUCCUUCCACACAGUUGACACUGCAUUCUUGUGUUAUUGUUGUUGUAUCCAAAUCUGC
rnacentral:lncRNA from 1 species